rnacentral:rRNA from 1 species
AACGAACGCUGGCGGCAGGCCUAACACAUGCAAGUCGAGCGCCCCGCAAGGGGAGCGGCGGACGGGUGAGUAACGCGUGGGAAUAUGCCCUUUGCUACGGAAUAGUCUCGGGAAACUGGGGGUAAUACCGUAUACGCCCUUUGGGGGAAAGAUUUAUCGGCGAAGGAUUAGCCCGCGUUGGAUUAGGUAGUUGGUGGGGUAAUGGCCUACCAAGCCGACGAUCCAUAGCUGGUCUGAGAGGAUGAUCAGCCACACUGGGACUGAGACACGGCCCAGACUCCUACGGGAGGCAGCAGUGGGGAAUCUUAGACAAUGGGGGCAACCCUGAUCUAGCCAUGCCGCGUGAGUGAUGAAGGCCUUAGGGUUGUAAAGCUCUUUCAGCUGGGAAGAUAAUGACGGUACCAGCAGAAGAAGCCCCGGCUAACUCCGUG